UACGUAGGCAGCAAGCGUUGUUCGGAGUUACUGGGCGUAAAGGGCGCGUAGGCGGCGUGACAAGUCACUUGUGAAAUCUCUGAGCUUAACUCAGAACGGCCAAGUGAAACUGUUGUGCUAGAGUGCAGAAGGGGCAAUCGGAAUUCUUGGUGUAGCGGUGAAAUGCGUAGAUAUCAAGAGGAACACCUGAGGUGAAGACGGGUUGCUGGGCUGACACUGACGCUGAGGCGCGAAAGCCAGGGGAGCAAACGGG
rnacentral:rRNA from 1 species